AAUGAAGUAAGUUUCUCGAUUUUGUACUGUGUUAAGGUGGUGAGUCCUCCAAUAAAGGCAGGGGAAUUGCACCCGAGGACUAGUAAUCUGAGUACUUCAAAAAUCCCCAUUCUAGACAUUGUGAGUAACCUUAUCAUCAUUUUAAUUAUCUAAAGUAUGUUUUAACUCGGUUUUGGUGAAAUUUUAUGAAAAUGAGUUAAAUGACAAAUUUUAGGUUUUAUAAACAAAAAUGUGUUUAAAUGAAAAGAUUUUAUAAAUUGUCUUGAAACGAAAUAACGAUUUUGAAAAUAAAGCAAUUGGAGACCACCGGUAUGUUGUAAAUUUAUGAUUGGAAAUUGAUGGCUUAUGUUAUAUUGUUAUUGUGUUGGCAUGACUGGCUGGGCUGUGUUUUUGAAUUGUAUGAAUUGUUUAUUUUACCCUUACAAGCUGGGUAGUAAAAUAUUAACCCUGUCAUGCUGUCAAAAUUUUAUUGUAUGGUGGGUUUAGCUUGCUGCAGUAGGCAGAUUCUGUGGACCAGCCUAUUAGAGGAGCACAGAAUUCAAAUAUAUAUAUAGGUACCUCGGUCAGAGAGGCUCGUAGGGUAUCUCUUGAGGUAUAGUUAGAGUUCACGUCACGCCAAAUCACCUCGUGAUGAUGAACUUCGCUAACGCCAAGGAACGGCUGUGUUUUUCAAACUAAUAAUUUGUUUACGUGUAUACGAAAUUUUUAAUAGCCUUGGCGGACUCGGUUAGAUGCCUCGGCCAAGGUAUCCCCGAGAAUGAUUUUGGGAGGAGCCAAGCUUUUAAAAUACUCAUAAGUCAUGUUGAUUAUUUAAAUGAAAUGAGUAUUUAUGUUAUGAAAAACAUAUUUAAAUAAAAUAUUUUAAUAGUCUCCUUUUACUCGACUUUAGAUCUUGUGAAUGAUGUUUGUUUACUCACUGGGAUUAUAAAAUCUCACCACUCUCCUUUCCACCCAUUUCAAGUUCAAAAUAGGCUGUAGAUAGCUGAUAUCAUCAAGGACUACCGUUGGAAUUGCAUUUUCCAAACUAUAGGUUCACAGUCCUCUUUACUUUUGCUUAUUCGAGGGCCCACUUGUUAUUGUAAAUUAAAUUAAAUACUCUGACUUAUUGUAUUACAGUAUGUAUGAAAUUAUUUAGCUUUUACGCUGCAAAAAUUAUUUACGUAUAACUCUAUAAAUAUUGUUUUAUAAGAAAAUAGAAUAUUUUACUUAAUAUUUCUUUUAUUUUUUUAUUAUAUCCAAAUAAUCGAAAUUUCAUUUUAAAUGAAGAUUUUAGACUUUAAAACUCAUUUUUUAUUAUGAAUUAUGUGUUUUGUACUCGCUUAUUACAUUU
rnacentral:lncRNA from 1 species